rnacentral:lncRNA from 13 species
CCUUGGCCUUACGUAGCCUCUUCCACGUCCACAUCCAUACCUGCAUCCACAUCCUCUCAUUCCAUCUGCCCCCCUUUCCGUGAGGGCUGCUGCCAGUAGAUCGGCUUUCCUUCUAAGCCUCCUGGUCACAAUUAACAUACACCUUGGUGGCCACUUCUGCAAAGCCCUUUAGCUUUUGUAACUUACGAUGAAUGUCCCCCUGGGCUUGCCUUACAAACGCUACAUUUACUGUGUGCUGAUUCUGAGCUGCCUCAAGGUCAAACAGAGUGUAAAGCUGGAAUGCCUCACAGAGUCUCUCACAGAACUGACUACGACUCUCAUUGACUUCCUGCAACACUUCUGAGAUUUUUCCCUGUGUUAACUGCCUUCUUUCAGCCUGCUCUUAGCUCUUGCAGGAGUGCUCGUGGUAUCUCUGCAGGCGCUGAAACUGGGUUGCAUCAUUUGAAUUCCAGUGUGGGUCUGCCUCUGGAAACUGGUUUUGGGCAUGUGCCUGGACAUUCCCUGUGUCCUCCGGUGCAUUGUUCUCUAGCCAGUGCAGGGCUGGCUGAGCUGCCUUCCAGGGCUCCUCAGUGUCAGGAGGAGAUGCUUGCAAUCUGGCUAGUUUGGAUUGUGUGUUUGAAAAAUGGACUGCAUCGGAUCUCUGACAAUGGAGCUGAAUGCUCUUUCACUUUCGACUCAGCUCAAGUUACGAGCGUUUGCAAGAAGUUGCCAGCCAGGGCUGCAGCCAAGCAGGUCAAGUUUGAACGGUAUUCAGCCAUGAGUCAAUAUAAGGAAGUUGGUCUGGAUGCCCUGGCUGUUCCCUGACCCUGCUCACCACACUAAAUAUGCAGUCAAUCGUUUCCCUAUCUAUAGUUCCCUCGCCGGCCAUCUAACACUAAAAGAGGAUCGCUCUGUUUCACAGAGUUCAUAACCUCUGGGGACUCAGCUCAACCUUAUAAUCCUCUGAAUAGCCUUUCUUAAAGUUCUUUAACAUACAUCCCAGUGGGGUGGGUUUCGACGAAUGUCCUCAUAUUUACAGCAGAACACACACACACCCGUCCUUCUGCUUCGGACUGACUAGACUGGCUCCCUCUUGGGAGUUUUCAGAUGCUGUUAGGCGUUCGAGGGUUCGAUUGAACCUGGCACCCACAAUCACUAAAUUGUGGGGGGUUUCCCUAAGCUGUAUGUGAUUCACCCCAGUCCCAGUCAGUCCCACACUCCUCUCAGAGCAUACAGUCUGUGCUAAGGGACCUGUGGCCUCCACACAUCUCUCCCAGUGUUGGUCCUUUGUGGAACUGCCUCUUCACUCACUUUCACACACUUCCCCCCUCCAAUUCCCCUGGUUGGAGUGUAGGUUUCUUCUGACUUUGCGAGCCGUUCUCACGUCCUAGGUCAGAUUACUAGGUACACUUUGGGUGUUAUCAGGC